AAAGAAAUCAGAUCGGUGCUAAGUCACUCUGCCUUUAUGGCAAAUGUGAGAUGCAGUGUAUGGAACGUCUUCAAUCUAGUAUGAGAAAUUACCGAUUUACGUCCUUCUUAAAUGAGGCCAAUUACCCAUAGAGGAUGCCAGGCCCGUAUAACGUUAAUGAUUACUGGAAGGCGCUUCCGAAGAGUCAUGUUGCUUGAUAUUGCAGCACUAUGUUGGUGGUACACUCCAUCUAAAACUAAAUAUAACCAUGAGACCGAUAGUAAACAAGUACCGUGAGGGAAAGUUGAAAAGAACUCUGAAUAGAGAGUUAAAUAGUACGUGAAACUGCUUAGAGGUUAAGCCCGAUGAACCUGAAUAUCCGUUAUGGAAAAUUCAUCAUUAGAAUUGUAAUAUCCUUAAAAAAUAUUAUAAUGAUAGUGUGCAUUUUUUCUAUAUAAGGACAUUGUAAUCUAUUAACAUAAUAAAAUGUUUUUCAAACAUUCAUGAAUUUAAAGUUUAUUCAAAUUAUUUUGCUUGCAUCUUAACAUGGAAUAAAUGUUUUUGAUUUGAUAAAGUGUAGAUAGAUUUAUUAUAUAUACAGUGCUUUAAUUUUUCAGAAUUACAUAAUGGCAUAAUUUUCCUUGAUUAUUAUGUUUAUUAUAUGCACUUGUAUGAUUAACAAUGCGAAAGAUUCAGGGUACUCUCAUGACCCGUCUUGAAACACGGACCAAGGAGUCUGACAUACAUGCAAGUCAUUGGGAUUUUAUAAGCCUAAUGGCGUAAUUAACUUAACUUAAUAAUUAUGGGAUUAGCUUUUAAACUAUUUAUAGUUUGUUAUCACAAUCCCGGGGCGUUUUACAUAGUUAUGUGUAAUAAUAU
rnacentral:rRNA from 1 species